rnacentral:rRNA from 1 species
CCUACGGGGGGCAGCAGUGGGGAAUAUUGCACAAUGGGGGAAACCCUGAUGCAGCGACGCCGCGUGAGUGAAGAAGUACUUCGUUAUUUAAAGCUCUAUCAGCCGGGAAGAAAAUGACGGUACCUGAGUACGAAGCGCCGGCUAACUACGUGCCAGCAGCAGCGGUAAUACGUAGGGGGCAAGCGUUAUCCGGAUUUACUGGGUGUAAAGGGAGCGUAGACGGCAGUGCAAGUCUGGUGUGAAAGGCGGGGGCUCAACCCCCGGACUGCUCUGGAAACUGUACGGCUGGAGUGCAGGAGAGGUAAGUGGAAUUCCUAGUGUAGCGGUGAAAUGCGUAGAUAUUAGGAGGAACACCAGUGGCGAAGGCGGCUUACUGGACUGUAACUGACGUUGAGGCUCGAAAGCGUGGGGAGCAAACAGGAUUAGAUACCCGUGUAGUC